rnacentral:rRNA from 1 species
UGUAAGCGUAUACCAAAGUUGUUGCAGUUAAAACGCUCGUAGUCGGACUUUGGCAGUUCCGGAUGUGUGCACGUCGUGUGCGCACUUCGCGGGGAUUGCUUUUGUGGUCUUGCGUAGGAUGAGGCACUUUUAUUAGUGAACGUCCUCACGCAACCACUUUUUACUGUGAGAAAAUCAGAGUGCUCAAAGCAGGCAUUUGCCGUGAAUGUAUUAGCACGGAAUAAUAGAAUAGGACUUGGUUCUAUUUUGUUGGUUUGUUGGGACUGAGUAAUGAUUAAGAGGGACAGUUGGGGGCAUUUGUAUUUCGGUGCUAGAGGUGAAAUUCUUAGAUUACCGAAAGACAAACUGCUGCGAAAGCGUCUGCCAAGGAUGUUUUCAUUGA